AAGUCGUAACAAGGUUUCCGUAGGUGAACCUGCGGAAGGAUCAUUAAUACGUUUCUAAACAAACGUUUUAAACUCCAAAAUUUUAAUAGUGGAAAUAUAACUUCCGGAUGCAUUUGUAGGAGGGGAGAUCAGACCUUAAAAAGUCUGUUCUUCUCUUUUGAAAAGGAGACUUCAUGCACUUUAUUGUGAGUGUGUGACACUUCAGAGUAGAGCAGUGAGGUGAAAACUUCGGUUUUGGUUUCUGAAAUACACAUUUGUAUCCGGUUAUUCUCUGUUCUACAACCCUUAUAUAAAACAAUAAACCCCAUGUACAACAACUUGAACUAAACAAAUUUUGUUUUCUCUCUGUGAGGAAAUGAGGUAAAUCUGAACUUAAGAACAACUCUUAACAACGGAUAUCUUGGUUCUC
rnacentral:misc_RNA from 1 species